rnacentral:rRNA from 1 species
GAUGAACGCUGGCGGCGUGCUUAACACAUGCAAGUCGAACGAAGCACUUUAUUUGAUUUCCUUCGGGACUGAUUAUUUUGUGACUGAGUGGCGGACGGGUGAGUAACGCGUGGGUAACCUGCCUUGUACAGGGGGAUAACAGUUGGAAACGGCUGCUAAUACCGCAUAAGCGCACAGCAUCGCAUGAUGCAGUGUGAAAAACUCCGGUGGUAUAAGAUGGACCCGCGUUGGAUUAGCUAGUUGGUGAGGUAACGGCCAACCAAGGCGACGAUCCAUAGCCGAGUGGAGAGGGUGCCAGACCACAUUGGGACUGAGACACAGCCCAAACUCCUACGGGAGGGAGCAGAGGGGAAUAUAGCACAAGGGGCGAAAGUCUGAUGCAGCGACGCCGCGUGAGCGAAGAAGUAUGUCGGUAUGUAAAGCUCUAUCAGCAGGGAAGAGAAUGACGGUACCUGACGAAGAAGCACCGGCUAAAUACGUG